GACGAACGCUGGCGGCGUGCUUAACACAUGCAAGUCGAACGAAGAGCGAUGGAAGCUUGCUUCUAUCAAUCUUAGUGGCGAACGGGUGAGUAACGCGUAAUCAACCUGCCCUUCAGAGGGGGACAACAGUUGGAAACGACUGCUAAUACCGCAUACGAUCUAACCUCGGCAUCGAGGAUAGAUGAAAGGUGGCCUCUACAUGUAAGCUAUCACUGAAGGAGGGGAUUCCGUCUGAUUAGCUAGUUGGAGGGGUAACGGCCCACCAAGGCGAUGAUCAGUAGCCGGUCUGAGAGGAUGAACGGCCACAUUGGGACUGAGACACGGCCCAGACUCCUACGGGAGGCAGCAGUGGGGAAUCUUCCGCAAUGGACGAAAGUCUGACGGAGCAACGCCGCGUGAGUGAUGACGGCCUUCGGGUUGUAAAGCUCUGUUAAUCGGGACGAAAGGCCUUCUUGCGAAUAGUGAGAAGGAUUGACGGUACCGGAAUAGAAAGCCACGGCUAACUACGUG
rnacentral:rRNA from 1 species